UCCCAUAUAGUUCAAUGGUAGAGCAACGGAUUGUUAAUCCGUAAGUUACAGGUUCGAAUCCUGUUGUGGGAG
rnacentral:tRNA from 1 species